rnacentral:rRNA from 1 species
GAUGAACGCUGGCGGCGUGCCUAAUACAUGCAAGUCGAGCGAACAGACGAGGAGCUUGCUCCUCUGACGUUAGCGGCGGACGGGUGAGUAACACGUGGAUGACCUACCUAUAAGACUGGGAUAACUUCGGGAAACCGGAGCUAAUACCGGAUAAUAUAUUGAACCGCAUGGUUCAAUAGUGAAAGACGGUUUUGCUGUCGCUUAUAGAUGGAUCCGCGCCGCAUUAGCUAGUUGGUAAGGUAACGGCUUACCAAGGCAACGAUGCGUAGCCGACCUGAGAGGGUGAUCGGCCACACUGGAACUGAGACACGGUCCAGACUCCUACGGGAGGCAGCAGUAGGGAAUCUUCCGCAAUGGGCGAAAGCUUGACGAAGCAACGCCGCGUGAGUGAUGAAGGUCUUCGGAUCGUAAAACUCUGUCAUUAGGGAAGAACAAAUGUGUAAGUAACUAUGCACGUCUUGACGGUACCUAAUCAGAAAGCCACGGCUAACUACGUG